GAUGAACGCUGGCGGCGUGGAUAAGGCAUGCAAGUCAAGGGGGUCGCAAGACAACCGGCAGACGAGAUAGUAAUACGUGGGUACUCACUCUGAAGUUGGGCAUAGCUAGUCGAAAGAUUAGGUAAUUCCCAAUAGUCCCUUAGGGGUAAAGAUUUAUCGCUUCAGAAGAGGCCUGUGCAGUAUCAGCUAGUUGGUAGGGUAAUGGCCUACCAAGGCUAUGACGC
rnacentral:rRNA from 1 species